rnacentral:tRNA from 1 species
GCGGGCGUAGCUCAGCGGUAGAGUAGGAGCCUUCCAAGCUCUUGGUCGUGAGUUCGAAUCUCAUCGCCCGCU